rnacentral:rRNA from 1 species
CCUACGGGUGGCAGCAGUGAGGAAUAUUGGUCAAUGGGCGCGAGCCUGAACCAGCCAAGUCGCGUGAGGGAAGACGGUCCUAUGGAUUGUAAACCUCUUUUGUCAGGGAGCAACGCCGGCUACGUGUAGCCGGACUGAGAGUACCUGACGAAACAGCAUCGGCUAACUCCGUGCCAGCAGCCGCGGUAAGACGGAGGAUGCGAGCGUUAUCCGGAUGUAUUGGGUUUAAAGGGUGCGUAGACGGGAUGGCAAGUCAGCGGUGAAAUCGCGGGGCCCACCCCUUGUACUGCGUUUAAGACGGGGUGUCUGGAGUGGAGGAGAGGCAGGCGGAAGGCGUGGUGGAGCGGUGAAAUGCGGAGAUAUCAGGAAGAACACCGAUGGCGAAGGAGGCCUGCUGGACUGCAACUGACGUGGAGGCCCGAAAGCGUGGGGAGAAAACAGGAUUAGAUACCCUUGUAGUC